UUACGGUCAUAUCACGUUAAAACUUCGAUCGCCAUAAGAUCACCGAAGUUAAGCAACGACGAGCAUGGUCAGUAAAUAGGCGGGUGACCGCUUGGGAAUACCAGGUGCUGUAAG